rnacentral:lncRNA from 1 species
AUAGUUGGCUUGUCAUCAGUGACCAAAAGAAUGUGUUUUGACGCUGCAUGAAUCAACACAAUAUUCUUUCCACCAACCUUUCAAUAAUUUCUUCUCUUUUGCCUAGACUUGGCUCUUGUCUUCCAAAUUUCCUUGAUCUUUCUGCCUCUCAGCUUCCUUCUCAAACUUCUCCUUUUCCCUCAUCUGGAAGAAGUCUUCACCGAUAGGUAGAUCACCUGCAUUAAAAUGACUAUCGACAUGUACCACAAGACGAUCUGGCAAAGAUGAUGUCUGACGAUGGACUAGCUAGUAGUAGUAUUUACCUCCCCACCCAUAGCCUCGAGGUGGAAGGAGUCCGCACAUGACACGGUGGCAUGUAGGAUGCUGAGCCCUACAUUAGAUUAAAUUGGAUUAGAUUUGAAAAUUUUAGGGGAUAAUAAACCCUAACUAAGACCCUGAGUACCUGGGUUAGGCAGGGGACAGGGUCGCUGGGCGCGACAUCUAGUGUGUAUUAUGGCUCUAUGGCUCCCAGAUUGUGUACCUUGGUUGCUCGACGGCGUUGUGGCCAACGUGGCUAGGUGCACCGGCUCUGCUUCUCCAGCUGGGCGAGGGUGGGGUGGAGCUCUGCUCAAUGCUUAGGCUCAGGAACAGGCGGCUAGACGGGUGUAGAGAUCUGCUACUCGAGGGCGGGCGCUGCUGGGGGCGGGAGAGACGGCCGCGGCGGCGGCCGGGGCGGGCUCCAGGGGUCCGGAGCGCGGUCGGGGGCGGGACGGCGGCCGUGGCGAGCGGCGGCCGGGGCAGGCGGCUCGGGGGUGGGGCGCGGUCGGGGUCGGGAGAGCUGGGACGGGCGGCUCGGAGGCGAGGCGCGGUCGGGGUCGGGAGAGCUAGGGCGGGCGGCGGCCGGGACGAGGCCCACCGGGGGCGGCGCGGUCGGAGGCGGUGUGGUCAGGGGCGGCGGGGCCAGGGGCGGCGUGGCCGUGCGUGGGAGAAGGGCACGCGGGAGAGGCGUGAGACAGAUAUUUUGUGAAAUUUUGUGAAAGGUGAGAGAAGAGGGAGGUAAAAAUUAAAAAAACAUAACUUCCUAGAGUAAAGCUGUAGGAAGUUAGGUAACUUUCUAGAGUUUGUGCUUGGCCUCUAGGAAGUUAAUUAACUUCCUACAGCCGGCCAUAGGAAGUUAGAUUUACAUUUGACCGGUCAACAGAUGAAUCCUAACUUCCUAGAUGAGGCCGUAGGAAGUUAGCUGCCCAGCUAACUUCCUAGAGCCAGCCGUAGGAAGUUAUGUUUUCGGUUGACUGGUCAAUAGCUCAAACCUAACUUCCUAGAGGAGGCCGUAGGAAGUUAUCUAGGCAGCUAACUUCCUAGAGCCAGCCGUAGGAAGUUAGCUAUUCUAUUGGCUUGUGAACGGAUGAAACCUAGCUUCCUAGAGGAUGCCGUAGGAAGUUAACUGGGCAGCUAACUUCCUAGAGCUAGCCGUAGGAAGUUAGCUAUUCUAUUGGCUUGUGAACGGAUGAAACCUAACUUCCUAGAGGAGGCCGUAGGAAGUUAGUUAAGUUCCUACGGUUUUUUAACUUCCGACAGCUUUUAUAAAAAACCGUAGGAAGUUAUGUUUAUUUCCUAGAGGUACCAGUUGCCUCUCGGAAGUUAUUUAUUUCCUACGGUUUGUUAUAAAAGCUGUAGGAAGUUAAAAAACCGUAGGAAGUGUAUGAUUUUGGUGUAGUGUUUGCACUUAAAAGCAUAAUUGUUACCAUCCUUUGGCUUUCCUCCAUGUUGUAGGUCUUGACUUUUCGACUUGGGAUUAGUUCUUUGUUUCCUACAACAUCAAUAUUUUCCCGAGAUGAUAUGAGUUUUAGACAUAAUAAUUUGAAAUAACCUUGGGUCAAUCUUGGAUAUGU